CCUACGGGAGGCAGCAGUGAGGAAUAUUGGUCAAUGGGCGCGAGCCUGAACCAGCCAAGUCGCGUGAAGGAUGACUGCCCUACGUGUUGUAAACUUCUUUUAUAAAGGAAUAAAGUGAGGCACGUGUGCCUGGUUGUGUGUACUUUAUGAAUAAGGAUCGGCUAACUCCGUGCCAGCAGCCGCGGUAAUACGGAGGAUCCGAGCGUUAUCCGGAUUUAUUGGGUUUAAAGGGAGCGUAGGUGGGUUGUUAAGUCAGUUGUGAAAGUUUGCGGCUCAACCGUAAACGUGCGAUGGAUACUGGCAGCCUUGAGUUCAGUUGAGGUAGGCGGAAUGCGCGGUGUAGCGGUGAAAUGCUUAGAUAUCACGAAGAACUCCGAUUGCGAAGGCAGCUUACUAACCCGCCACUGACACUGAGGCUCGAAAGUGUGGGUAUCAAACAGGAUUAGAUACCCGAGUAGUC
rnacentral:rRNA from 1 species